rnacentral:rRNA from 1 species
CCACCCCCUCCCUGGCCUGCUCUGCUCUGCCAUUACUUGGCGUGUGCUGCCGCCGCUGCCGAGGUGAACAGGAGAGAGAAGAAGAAGAAUAGAAGAGCAAGCAGUGAGAACUCUCAGAUACUGAGAGAGAGGAAGAAGAAGAAGAAGAAGAAGAAGAAGAGGAAGGAGGAGAUGGAGGUGCAGGCUCGCCAUGGCUCCCUGCCAACAGGGAGGCAGCAGCGCCUCCAUGGCCGGCCUCACCAUGAACCUACCGCAGGAGGAGGAGAUGAGUGGUGGGAGUACUUCCCCUGCCCCUUCUGCUACGUCGAGGUGGAGGUCCCCUUCCUCUGCGCCCACCUGCAGGAGGAGCACUGCUUCGACAUGAAGAACGCUGUGUGCCCGAUCUGCGCCGAGAACCUCGGGGCCGACACGGCGGGGCAUUUCAGGGAGCAACACUCACAACAACUCAAGAUGAGGAAGUCCUCUUCUUCCAGGGCAGGAGCAGCAGCUGAUGACAAGGAGGCAUAUGAAGAUGAGGACUCCUACUUUGAGGAAUCCUCAUACAUCAUGGGCCGGCCGGUUCCCGAUGACCAUUCUCCCGACCCUCUGCUCUCCCAGUUCAUCUGCGCCUUCGCGCCGCCCCCGGUCGUCGAUCCGGAGCCCAUCAAGGCCGAGGAGGAGGAUCAUGCUGCACCUUCCUCAGAUGAUCAGAGGCUGAAUCAGGUUGUGAUGGACGACGCGUCGAAGGAGGACCUCGAGGAGCGGCUGCGGAGGGUCGAGUUUGUGAAGCAGAUGCUGAUGACGACGGUCGCUUGGGACUGAUGAUUCUCCAGCAGGGUUGGUUUCAGCACUUGACUAGCUAGGGCUGUUCAGGAUCUCUUGGAUGUGUGCCGUUUUUGUUGAGAUUGACCCCUUGGCACAUGUACACCUGCAACCUUGGAUUAUUACCUGAAUUGACCAAUCUUGAUCCCUUUAAGCUAAGCUUUGGUUACCUUCAUGUCUCUUCCCAGGAGAAACCAGUUGGACUCUUCUUCACAUGAUUGACAGAC